CACCGCGCGACUCCUCCGGUUCGCACGGGCAUAGCGGCGCCUCCUUCAGCAGCCUAAGCGAAGGAAAGGGAGGCGAUGCGGGCGGCCACGCGCGCGGGCUGAAGCGAGAAGAGCCGAGAGGAAGAGCAUCGCCGCGAACAGAAAUGCUGUCGAGGCUUCGGAAAGUCAGGGAGCGGAGCAAGGGCGGGCGCGUGAAGUGGGACGAGGGCGUGGUGGACCCGCCCCCCCGCCGGGCCCCCGUCACGCCCCCAAACCCCGCCCACAAAGAGAAGGCGGAAACGCUUCAUUCUCCAACGACCAAAAAUUCCAUUAAUGAUGUAAGGAUGCACCAGACGUAGGCAAAUCCAGGUGAAG